ACCCCCCGGCUCUGCAGGGAGCCUCAGUUUCCCCAUGUGCAGGGGGCUUUGCUGGGCAAGAAACGUGGAACCCCACGCAUGAACACGUGUGCAUGGACACACACGUGUGUAAACACACAUAGACACCCUGAGGCCACCACCAGCACCAGGGGCACCACCAGCACCAGGGCCACCACUGGUACCAGGGCCACCAGCACCAAGGUCACCACUGGCACUAGGGCCACCAGCACCCCAAGGCCACCAUCAGCACAGGGUCACCACUGGUCCCAGGGCCACCACUGGUAUCGAGGUCACCAGCACACCAGGGCCAGCACCAGCACCAAGGCCACCGCUGGUACCAGGGUCACCACUGGUAGCCCUAGGCCACCACUGCCACCAGGGCCACCACCAGCACCAGGGCUAUGGCAGACACCAGGGCCACCACUGGUACUAGGGCUACUAGCACCGGGUCACCACUGGUACCAGCGUCACCAGCACCCCAGGGCCACCACGGUCACCAGGGCCACCACUGGUACCAGGGUCACCAGCACCCCAGGGCCACCACCAGCACACCAGGGUCACCAUUGGCACUGGGGCCACCAGCAGCACCAGGGUCAUCACUGGCACCAGGACCACCACUGGUACCAGAGCCACCAGCACCCCAGGGCCACCACUGGCAUGAGGGUCACCACUGGUCCCAGGGCCACCAGUGCUCCAGGGCCACCACCAGCACACCAGGGCCACCAUUUGCACCAGGGCCACCACCAUCACCGCUCUUCCAACCCCUGGUCACCACUGGUCCCAGGGCCACCAGUGCACCAGGGCCACCAUCAAAACCAGGGUCACCACUGGUAUCAAGGUCACCAGCACCCCAGGGUCACCAUCAGCACCAGGGCCACCACUGGAACUAGGGCCACCAGCACCCCAGGGUGCUGGGGUGGCCAGAAGGUGGCCAGUGACACUCAAGAAGCUCAACCCAAGACCGACUUCAGGCCGGGCUUUGGUGGCCGGUGACACGGUGCUCCCAUGAAGGUGGACACGGAGGUGGGUUGGGUGGGGGUGAGGAGAAGACCUUCCCCCCCCGCCCCGACUUCCUUGAGCUCAACCCCGAUACCAGCCACCGGAGAGUCCCCAUGG
rnacentral:lncRNA from 1 species